CAAGUAGCCAGAGAGUAGUUGCCCUUUAAGCGAAACAAAUGUCUUCGCAAUGUCCACAAUGUCCAACAGACCCCCCCACCUCCCAUACCCAGUAGUAACAGAAUCCAUUGAAAAAUCUCUUCUGUCACUUAUUUUGGGUUUCAAACUGAGGUGUUGAAUUUUGGAUUCUGGGCAAACAAACCACUAGGGGGCGCACCCAUAUUGUUUGCGGUGUUUUUUUAAAACCUUAUACACAUACCUAACACCAUAACAAAAAUCAGAAAAUUGUCACAAAAUGCCUAAUUUUUAACCUUUUUUGACAAGUUUCAUCCUUCUGAAUUCAUGAUUCAUCUCUGCUGAAUUCAUGAUUACUUCAAGGCAAUGGCAGCCAUCUUGGACACCAUGCACGUAACAACAAUCGGUGUUACAAAUUUCUCACUCUCCCAAUUCUGUACAAGUAUCUAUAUGCUAUAUCUCAAGAACCGUAAUGGAUACAGAGAUGUACUGGCUACCAAAAUGUCCGCAAUACCCAACUUUAUAUUCAACUUCAAUAUAUGUAUGGGGCAUAAAAUAAAGUCAUUUUGAGUUAUAAAGGAAAAAACACAUUUUGGGGCGGACAUCUUGGAUUUUUGGGCCGCCAUCUUGGAAUUUUGCGUGGCUAACGUUAUUUUUGAAAAGAGUGGGGUUUGAAGAGUAUAUGUACCAAAUUUCAUGCUUGUAUAACAAAGUGAACAAUUAUUUCCUUAUCUGCUCAGCUAAAAAAGCAUAAAUAAGUGAACUGAGUAACCCUCCCACCCUCACCCACCCCCCUCCUUAUUAUGGCUAGUGGUGGCUGUGGCAUGGCUCUGCCCCUAAGCUCAUUCCAGAGCUUAGGGGCAGCAGCGGCAAAUGCUCUGUCCCCUCUGAGCUUCAGCCUUGUACUGGGGACGGUCAGUAAAAGCUGAUCAGCUGAUCUUAGGGGUCGGGGUGGGCAAUAAGGCUGUAGCAUCUCCGAAAUAUAGGGUGGAGCAAGGUUGUUCAGGCCCUUAAAAACAAAUGCUAAAAGCUUAAAAUGAAUUCUGUACUGAACAGGGAGCCAGUGUAAGGACGCCAGGAUGGGGGUGAUGUGCUCACGCCUGCGGGUCUGUGUCAGGAGACGUGCAGCAGAGUUCUGCAUAAGCUGCAGGCGGGCAAGGGAAGCCUGGCUAAUCCCUACGUACAAGGAGUUGCAGUAAUCAAGACGGGUAGUGAUAAAAGCAUGGAUUAAUUUUUCCAGGUCAGGUCUUGAUAAAAUGGGCUUCACCUUCGCUAUUUGGCGUAGCUGAUAAAAACUUUUUUGUACCACCCCGCUGAUCUGCUUGUCAAAUUUAAAAUCAGGGUCAAAUUUAACUCCCAGAUUAGUGACGACCUCUUUAAGGUAGGGUGAGAGGGAGCCUAGGUCGAAAACCCUUAAAACAGGCAGAAAAAAGAGAAAACUAAAAAAAAAAAAAAGAAGAGUAUUUCUGAAAACAAAAAAAAACAACAAAAAAAACACCCUAAGAAAACUAAAAAACAAAAAAGAAAUAUUUCUGAUUCUUGGGGUUAAGAAAGCCUGAGAAGUGGAAGAAGUAACUUCCCCGAAGUAAGGAAGUACUUAAAAAAAAAAAACUCUUCAAAAAGAAAUCUCCAAAAACAAAAAUAAAUUAAGACAACUGAUGAAAAAACAAAAAAGAAAAAAAAACAUCAACAUGGGAAAAAAAAAAAAAUUCUAAAAAAAAAAAAAAAAAACUACUGGAAAGAAAAUUAAAAAACAACAAACAAAAGCACCCAUAACCCGGUGUUUUUCACACAAAAAAUAAAAUAAACCUUGCGGUUUUCCGUCCCAUGGGAGGGUUUUUAUCCCCCUCCUCGAGCUACCACCUUACCGUGGUGGAGGGGUUUGUGUGUCCCAAUGAGAGUUAAUUCUGAUUUACUCUUGCUGUUGUCAAAAAGUGCUAAAAUUUCUCUGAAUUUCGCAUGUUAAGUAGGCCCAUGUCAGUUUUAAUCCUUGCAGGACUCUUGUUUUCACUUUUCAUCAGCAGAGGAAAAGCUUUUGGAUAACUGAUUAAUAUAGAGUUCAGGGGAAAGUAUAUCUGCA